rnacentral:rRNA from 1 species
UACGGGGGGGGCAAGCGUUGUUCGGAAUUACUGGGCGUAAAGGGCUCGUAGGUGGCCAACUAAGUCAGACGUGAAAUCCCUCAGCUUAACUGGGGAACUGCGUGUGAUACUGGAUGGCUUGGAUUUGGGAGAGGGAUGCGGAAUUCCAGGUGUAGCGGUGAAAUGCGCAGAUAUCAGGAGGAACACCGGUGGCGAAGGCGGCUAUCUGGACCGGUACUGACGCUGAGAAGCGAAAGCAUGGGGAGCGAACAGG